rnacentral:piRNA from 1 species
UGAUGGAAUGUGAAUCGUAAGCCUC